rnacentral:lncRNA from 1 species
UUUUGGAUAUAUUUUUGAUAUAUUCCGCAUAGACCUAAUUUUUGAUAUAUUUUUAAAGAACUAAGUAGCAUGCAUAUGUACUCUUUCCCGUUUUUUUAAAGGAAAGAAAGUCGAUUACCAUUCAACAAGACAGGGAACUGCCUUGUAAUUUCAGUUCAGGAUUUUUUUUAAUGAAACGUUCAAUCAAACUUUUCACUAUCUUUGAGAACUAGUAAUUAACAUAAAACUAUUUGUCGGGUCAAAAAACAUAAAACUAUUUAAACUUGUUAGGUGGAACAGUACCAUAUAUUUGUCGCACAAAAUAGUUAGAUUCGCAAUAUAAAUAUUUUGUAUCAUUUCUCCUAAGUAUUCAUACAAAAGGUAAUAAUCUACUGAAGAUGGUCGAAA